UGGGGUCGCCAAGAGUCGGACACGACUGAGCGACUGAACUGAACUGAAGGAUGCGAGGAGCUGGGCGCUGGGGAGUCCAUGGCGUUGCGCACACCAAACGGGAGACUUGAAUUGGAGGAGGCGGAGAGGAGGGAGGCGACGGUGUGCUGGGAGGAGCCACACACACCCAAAUGACCAGAUUCAUCACAGCGCGAAACUUCACGAGGUAACGCCCACUCCCACCGCCUGGAGCCCGGGGAAGGCUGGCUGCUUCCUCCUUUCUGUUACUGGAAGUUCUGAGAGAUGGGAAGCAAGACGCGAGCGGCAUGUGUGCCUCGCUGAGCGGCGGUUUUUGGCACAGCUGCAUAGACGCAGAUGAGACUGUGAUGGCCAGCUCUAGGGGCAGGUGCUGAGACACUUCCCAGCCACCGUCACUGUUCAUCCUGACAUCAUCACCAGGCUCCAUAUCUCAAUGCCACAGUGCUCUUGGGGCAAGUUGGGCUGGGAACCUUUGUUGCCUUGUAAGGUAGGUUUGUGAAUGUGUGCUUGAGCCUGUGUAUACCUCCAUGAAUUAAACAUAAUGCUUCAGAGGUGGUGAGACAGGUA
rnacentral:lncRNA from 1 species